CUACGGGAGGCAGCAGUGGGGAAUAUUGCACAAUGGGCGAAAGCCUGAUGCAGCGACGCCGCGUGAGGGAUGACGGCCUUCGGGUUGUAAACCUCUUUCGACAGGGACGAAGCGCAAGUGACGGUACCUGUAGAAGAAGCACCGGCCAACUACGUGCCAGCAGCCGCGGUAAUACGUAGGGUGCGAGCGUUGUCCGGAAUUACUGGGCGUAAAGAGCUUGUAGGCGGCUUGUCGCGUCGAUCGUGAAAACUUGGGGCUCAACCCCAAGCUUGCGGUCGAUACGGGCAGGCUUGAGUACUUCAGGGGAGACUGGAAUUCCUGGUGUAGCGGUGAAAUGCGCAGAUAUCAGGAGGAACACCGGUGGCGAAGGCGGGUCUCUGGGAAGUAACUGACGCUGAGAAGCGAAAGCGUGGGUAGCGAACAGGAUUAGAUACCCUGGUAGUCCACGCCGUAAACGGUGGGUACUAGGUGUGGGUUUCCUUCCACGGGAUCCGUGCCGUAGCUAACGCAUUAAGUACCCCGCCUGGGGAGUACGGCCGCAAGGCUAAAACUCAAAGGAAUUGACGGGGGCCCGCACAAGCGGCGGAGCAUGUGGAUUAAUUCGAUGCAACGCGAAGAACCUUACCUGGGUUUGACAUACACCGGAAACCUGCAGAGAUGUAGGCCCCCUUGUGGUCGGUGUACAGGUGGUGCAUGGCUGUCGUCAGCUCGUGUCGUGAGAUGUUGGGUUAAGUCCCGCAACGAGCGCAACCCUUAUCUUAUGUUGCCAGCGCGUAAUGGCGGGGACUCGUGAGAGACUGCCGGGGUCAACUCGGAGGAAGGUGGGGACGACGUCAAGUCAUCAUGCCCCUUAUGUCCAGGGCUUCACACAUGCUACAAUGGCCGGUACAGAGGGCUGCGAUACCGUGAGGUGGAGCGAAUCCCUUAAAGCCGGUCUCAGUUCGGAUCGGGGUCUGCAACUCGACCCCGUGAAGUUGGAGUCGCUAGUAAUCGCAGAUCAGCAACGCUGCGGUGAAUACGUUCCCGGGCCUUGUACACACCGCCCGUCACGUCAUGAAAGUCGGUAACACCCGAAGCCGGUGG
rnacentral:rRNA from 1 species